rnacentral:rRNA from 1 species
UUGGAGGGCAAGUCUGGUGCCAGCAGCCGCGGUAAUUCCAGCUCCAAUAGCGUAUAUUAAAGUUGUUGCAGUUAAAAAGCUCGUAGUUGAAUUUCGAGAUCAGUACGCUGGUCGUGCCUUCGGUAUGCACUGGUGUCACUGGUUUCUCCCUUCUGAAGAACCGUCAUGUCAUUAAGUUGGUGUGGCGGGGAAUCAGGACUGUUACUUUGAAAAAUUAGAGUGUUUAAAGCAGGCUCGCGCUUGAAUACAUUAGCAUGGAAUAAUGAAAUAGGACGUUUGACCCUAUUUUGUUGGUUUCUAGGAUCGACGUAAUGAUUAAUAGGGAUAGUUGGGGGCAUUAGUAUUCAAUUGUCAGAGGUGAAAUUCUUGGAUUUAUUGAAGACUAACUACUGCGAAAGCAUUUGCCAAGGAUGUUUUCAUUAAUCAAGAACGAAAGUUAGGGGAUCGAAGACGAUCAGAUACCGUCGUAGUCUUAACCAUAAACUAUGCCGACUAGGGAUCGGGUGAUGUUAAUUUUUAAUGACUCAUUCGGCGCC